UAUAAGCAUCUGUUAAAGUUUAUAUGUCCAAGUGUGUCUGACCUGAAUGUAUAUAAAAAGAAUUGUAAUGUUACUGGUUUUUUACAGAUUCAGGCGUGGAUGCUGUUGCUGUCAUUGCUGCUGUACUGGUAAUGACUGGAAUUUUCAUUUAAAGAAGAGAUGAAGAAAUGGGAACUCGAAGCAGUGAUGGACAUUCCCCUCAAUUCAGCAAAUGAAGUCCUUUAUUGAAACAAGAAACAGCAGGAUGUGGGUGAUACUGUGUAGGAUAGUCACUCACCAGCCCUAAAUGAAUUUGUGCACAAGACAUAGAACAAGCAAUUGUACAAUUAUAAAGCCUGCAUCAGCCUAAAAACUCUGUUGGACUAUAAAUAAAGGAUGAGCAGAUUUUCAACUGGUCAUCUGACACUAUAGGUAAUGUGUAGUUUGCCAAACUUGUAAACACCUUUUCACGUUGCUAGGUGAAGUUGUGACCUCGAGCUUCACCUGUAAAAAAGAAAAGCUCUUUUGCUGCAUUGAUGCUUUCAGCUUCUGCAUUCUUUUAACUGAGCAGCUGUGAAGUGACCAUGUACAGUUUAAGGUGCUUCAUCAGACCUGACUAAGUUACACAAAUGAGAUGAGUCUACAACUGAACUCCUACAAGCACUGUAACACUGAAAGCACCUCAUCGCAUGGAUGUGUGGAGGUCCGCUCCUGGAAGGAAACACUGCCUUUGUCCCAUAAUGCUUUGUGUGACACUGAAAGCAUUUCUGCCUGGUGUAGCUUUUUGGGAGGACAGAUCCUGGCAGGGGAACACUACCUUUCUUCCAUAAUGUUUUGUUGAUACUUUAAGGAACAUGUUUUCUUUAAGUGAUUUCAUUUUGUCAGUACUUAAGUGAAUAGAUAGAUUUUGUUGAAGAUGUGCCUUAAUAAUGGUCUCAAGUGUUGGGCAUCUUGGAGUAGAGGGGAUAAAAAAGGUUCUUAACUUUACAUUUUCUGAAGUCUGUGAAACCACAAUGGUAGCAUACUUAGAUGUAGAGGUGCAGGGGGACACAGGCAAAAUGUUUUUGAAUUUGCUUGCAGUGUUUAUAUGCCAUUGCACCAGUUAUGUGUAUAGUUUAUGAUAUUUUAUUUUGAUUCUCGGGUCAGACUUUAUUAUAGAGCUGUUGUACUCUGGUUUUCAGCCAUGCUGUCUUAACAUGCUUAAGUCUGUAAGAGUUCACAUACCCAGGCUGUCAUUAAAAUGGUGUGUGUGCUCUGUCAUUUCAGAAUGUGACUAAAGUCUGUGCUUUUAUCCAGUGUAAUGCUCUGUGCCACACUUAUACUCUGUGAGGCACUACAGACCACCGUGGUUAUUUAUUUUUUACCACUAUUGUUUUUUGGGGGGGUAUUAAUCUAUGUAUGUCUUAUGUUAAUCCAUCAUACUGUGCAGUGUUCUGUUAUACCUUUCUGUAACUUAUUCUGGAUUGUAUAUGCAGCAUUACCAGUCAGAAGUCAUUGUUUACAGUGUGUGUAUAGGUAUAUGUCAUCACAACUUCUAUAUGCCGUGUUCGGCACUGCAUGUUUAUGCAGAGUAUUUUGUUGUACGUCAGAACAUUUAGUGCAUCAGCAUUAUUUAUUUAUUUAUAUAUAUAUACACACACACUGUUGCUUUUCAGUGUGACUCAUUUGAACUGCUUGUGCAUUAUGCAUUGACUGUUUUUCAGUCCAUCGCUAAUGAAUGGUAAUAUUUUAUUAUGAAUCGUAAAGCAACGUGCAGUAGCUGAGCUGAAAUCCCAGUAGUCUUUGCAGACUGUAUUGACAGAUUUAUUGCAGGGCUAGAUCAGUUAUUGAGUUGGUAUUUUCUGUGAUUCCUCUCAUUAAUAAGAUUGCAGAUAGAACACCUCUGUGUGAUUUAGAUGCUUCCUUUACAUAGGGGGAUAACCAUGUAUGCAGCUGUAUAACUGUUCCACUUUGGAGAAGAAGGAAGUUACCGGGUAAGAUUUAGUAUUAUAAGGGACCAUGCAGUGAGCAUAAAAUCAUGCUACCAUAUAAAGAUGUAAAAUUGUUUUAAAAUAUAUGCAGUCAUUGGCUGUUCCAAACUAUGCAUUUUAUCCUUGUCAUUGUGAACUACAUCUUGCCUAAAAAACAUUUGCAAAUGAUCAAUUUCAUUAUGUGAAUGACAAAUGAAAUGCAACUUACUGACACAGGGGAAGAUUGAAUGUAUCUAUUGUAUUGUAAUAAAGUUUUAAUUUGCACUGUUUCCUUCCAGUAUUUGUAUACGGUUGCAUAACUUUUAUAAUCAAAAUAUGUAUUCCG